rnacentral:rRNA from 1 species
CUAAAUCCUUUAACGAGGAUCUAUUGGAGGGCAAGUCUGGUGCCAGCAGCCGCGGUAAUUCCAGCUCCAAUAGCGUAUAUUAAAGUUGUUGCGGUUAAAAAGCUCGUAGUUGGUUCUGCGUGCCACGCUGUCGGUUCACCGCCUGCCGGUGCAACUGGCAUGCCGUGGCAUGUCCUGUCGGUGGCGGAUAGGCUUCGCGGCGCACCCUAUGCGGUAUACCAACGUGUAGGCUGUCGCGCCGUGUUGUCCUUGUACGCCGGCUCAAUCCUACCGCGGUGCUCUUUACCGAGUGUCGAGGUAGGCCGACACUGUUUACUUUGAACAAAUUAGAGUGCUUAAAGCAGGCUCUUAAAUCAGCCUAAAUAGUGGUGCAUGGAAUAAUGGAACAGGACCUUGGUUCUAUUUUGUUGGUUUUCGGAAUCCAAGGUAAUGAUCAAUAAGGACAGGCGGGGGCAUUCGUAUUGCGACGUUAGAGGUGAAAUUCUUGGAUCGUCGCAAGACGCACUAGAGCGAAAGCAUUUGCCAAGUAUGUCUUAAUUGAUCAAGAACGAAAGUUAGAGGUUCGAAGGCGAUCAGAUACCGCCCUAGUUCUAACCAUAAACGAUGCCAGCCAGCGAUCCGCCGAUGUUCCUCCGAUGACUCGGCGGGGAGCUUCCCCCGGGAAACCAAAGCUUUUGGGUUCCGGGGGAAGUAUGGUUGCAAAGCUGAAACUUAAAGGAAUUGACGGAAGGGCACCACCAGGAGUGGAGCCUGCGGCUUAAUUUGACUCAACACGGGAAACCUCACCAGGCCCGGACAUUGGAAGGAUUGACAGAUCGAUAGCUCUUUCUCGAUUCAGUGGGUAGUGGUGCAUGGCCGUUCUUAGUUGGUGGACUGAUUUGUCUGGUUAAUUCCGAUAACGAACGAGACUCU